GUGAGGAAUAUUGCGCAAUGGAGGCAACUCUGACGCAGCCAUGCCGCGUGCAGGAAGAAGGCGCUACGCGUUGUAAACUGCUUUUAACCGGGAAGAAACCCCAGGACGUGUCCUGGGUUGACGGUACCGGAGGAAUAAGCACCGGCUAACUUCGUGCCAGCAGCCGCGGUAAUACGAAGGGUGCAAGCGUUAUCCGGAUUCAUUGGGUUUAAAGGGUGCGUAGGCGGAGCGUUAAGUCAGUGGUGAAAUCCUGCAGCUUAACUGUCGACUUGCCAUUGAUACUGGCGCUCUUGAGUGCGCUUGAAGUGGGCGGAAUGUGCCGUGUAGCGGUGAAAUGCUUAGAUAUGGCACAGAACACCAAUUGCGAAGGCAGCUCACUAAGGCGAUACUGACGCUGAGGCACGAAAGCGUGGGGAUCGAACAGGAUUAGAAACCCCGGUAGUCC
rnacentral:rRNA from 1 species